AUGGUGCACAUUGAAUGUCCUGACCAUUGCUCUUAAGAGCAUCAACAAUGUCAAAACAAGAGGCAAACAUCAGGUUCUUAGAAGGCUGUGCCCAGUGUUAUUGUCCAGUUUCUGACUGAUGAUGAAGCAUGGUUACAAUGGCGAAUUUGAAGUCAUUUGAGAUCACAGAGCUGGGGAAAUUGUUGUGAACCUCACAGGCAAGUUAAACAAGUGUGAUCAUCCUCAGAUUUCACGUGCAACUCAAAGAUCUAGAAAAGUGGCAGAAUUAUCUGCUUCCACGUCAUCAGUUUGGUUUCAUUAUACUGACAACUUCGGCUGGCAUCACAGACCAUGAAGAAGCAAGAUGAAAACACACAUGAGGGAAAACCCUGGGAUUCAUGUUC
rnacentral:lncRNA from 1 species